rnacentral:rRNA from 1 species
CCUUUUGUAUAAUGGGUCAGCGACUUACUUCUCAGUGGCGAGCUUAACCGUUUAGGGGAGGCGUAGGGAAACCGAGUCUGAACAGGGCGAUUCAGUCGCUGGGAGUAGACCCGAAACCGGGCGAUCUAUCCAUGGCCAGGGUGAAGGUUCGGUAACACGGACUGGAGGCCCGAACUCACGUAUGUUGAAAAAUGCGGAGAUGAGCUGUGGAUAGGAGUGAAAGGCUAAUCAAGCCC